CUNCUAUGCCUGCUUGAGACCUAGUGGGUAGAUCGGUGGAGUCGGCGGCCGAACCCACUGGGAACUAUUCGUAGUUCUCACCCCCGUGUGGUUUUGGGGGUACAGGUACACAGGACAGCGGGCCUUCAUCGAUGGAUCGUGGUAAGGGCAUAGCGCCCUAGCUUUUGGUAGAUAGUUUACCUUGCCUACUUGCAUUAGCUCUAUACCCUGUACUUUUGGUUAUGCUUUGAGAGUAGAUGAUGUAUAGGGUGAGGUUUGGAGAGCAUAUGAUGUAUUUUCAUUUUGGAAAAAAGGAUGCAAGUUGUAUUAAAUACUUAAAGUUUAAAUGAUAUCGAAGAGGUUUAAUGUUUCAAUCAUGGUUUAAAUAGCUAAGUUUAUCUCUUUUGUAUACUUGUAUGGUUUUACUUAUAUCGCUUGCUCUAGUUGAUAGUAGCACUGCUUGUGCUCUCGUUUAUCGUUGUUUGAUUGUGUAUGUAUGCAAGUUGUUUUCCUGGGAACUUGUUGUACACAAUCUGUUGCUUAGCCUUGGGCGGACAGGGGAAACUCCGUCCGUUCGGCGGUCGCGCCGCCGCCCUCGAACCGGACCAAAUUGGUACCGUUUUCGGGCCGCGCGGUUGGGGCGUGACACUAGGUGCUUCGAUGACUUUCUUGAGAUUUUUGGACUCCUCAUUCUUCACCUGCGGCAAAACGAAGCAAUCUUAGGCCAUUUUGCCCAUAUCUUUACAUCGGCUUUUCGUAACGUUAAUCCGAGCGCACCAACGCGUCGGAAAUACCCCCAAUUAGGUUUUUGAAGGGUUAAUUUCACUUAGGAAUCCCCAUGAGCAAAAGCCCCAAUUUGGUGCCCUAGCUCCAUUACAUAUACAAAACCUAGGGUUUGAUCUCAUUGGGAAGCANUAGUUGUAUACUUUUGUAUCUCUAUUUGUGGAUCCCUUUAUGCUAGAACUUUAGUGAUUUUAUUAUACUCGCUCUGAUAGCCUUAUUAGGACUUCUAUGUUCAUUUCUUGUUUAGUAGACCCCUUGUGUGCAUCAUAUUUGUUGGUGUACACGGCGGGUCUGUGCACGCGCCGGCGGGCUUCUGCUGGGCCCGGGGCGUGACACCCGCUACCAAUUUGGUCCAGGUCGGGCGCGUCGAGCAGACGCCGAACGGACAGGACCUCCUCCGUCCGCCUAAGGCUAAACAACGAGAUCAUACAACAACAGCGAGAGCACAACCAGUGCUAAAUAAUCAAGAGCAAGUAUCACAAGUAGAGUAUAUACAAGUGAACAAAAGAGAGAUACUUAUCUAUUACAUUUAUGCAACUUUUAUACAUCUGAUUACAUUUAAACUUCCAAAACAUAAACAUAGAGUUUACAAUCUUCCAAAAUAUCUCACACCUAUACAUCAUCUACUCUCGUGUAUAUACAAGGUAACUACUAAUGGAAUGGGAAGUAUCUACAACCUCUAGGGCGCUUAGCCCUUACCAAGAUCCUCGCCGGGUGUACUCGAGCUCGGCCCUGCAACAAAGUGGGGUGAGAACUAUUAUCCAUAGUUCCUAGUGGGUUCGGCCGCCGACUUCGCAGAUCUCCCCACUAGGUCUAAACAAGCAUAGGCAGAUAGAUAGAUAGAUAGAUAACUUGCAAGCGAUAACAUAGUAAGAAGACAUGAAAGUAAUCUACCCUGCCUCAAUCUAUAAUCAUGCAUGCAACAUAAGUAAAGGCUAACUACCAAGCUAUCAUACUCAAUAAUGAUGUAAUUCAUUAGAUUACCCAAUCAAUCGGCUAACCCGAAGGUUCGCCACCAUCUCACGUCUCAAAGUCUCAUAGGGGAGGAGAUUUUAAUCACUCGGCUACCCCUGAGACCGCCUGCGGAUAGCUAGCUACUGUCCGGGCAACUCACGACUGCCCCUCUAGUGACCAAAACUCUGGAGUGCACAGCUUGUGUGGAGCGACCACUAUAAGCGCAGACAGGCUAUGUGAGUUCGAUCCAAUCCUCCUGAACUGGGGAUACCCUACCAACUAGGAAUAGCAUCAUCAUGGAAAUCAAUGUAGUCCUUGUCACACCCCGGGACCGAUACGAAUUUGGCCCGACCCGAGCACGUCAAACAGACGCCGAACGGACAGAGUUUUCCCUAUCCGCCCAAGGCUCAUCACAUGUAUAUUUUCAUCAAUAUAGAAAAGCACUAGCGGAAACAUACACAAACGGCUUACGCGAGGGUAAGCAAUAGCCAUUAGUGAAAGAAAGGAAAACUAAACAUUUACAAGUACUAUGAUUCAUUUUUGAUCAUCUACAUUGCAUCCAUAUUGUACAUUUUCAAAUUCCUUACAUUUCACUUCAUUACAUUGCUUGCAUCAUUUCCUUUUACAUCACACUUACCUCAAAAUGAGCUUUACAUUCUUCUCUUUACAUCACUAGUCAUCAAAUACAAAAGAUGAACAUAAGGUACUCUACUAACAAAAUGUAACCCAACUCAACUCUGGUGGCCUCUGUCUAAGGUGCGAUACCUUUACCUCGGUCGCUCGCCGGCUCGCUCGGUCCCAGCUCUGUGGAAAUAGUGGGGUGAGAACUACAACAAAGUUUCCAGUGGGUUCGGCCUCAACAUCACCGACUUUCCCACUAGGACUAACUCAGGCAUAAUAGAAAAAAUAAGCUGCAUAUAGUAACNCACGCGAUGCAUCCGGUCUCUCUUUGGGGGACCGGUCUCUCGGGGACCGGUCUCUCAAGCAGGGACCGGUUCCCGAGAGCUAGUUUCUCAGGACUUAGCCGAUUUUUCGGCUGUCUCAUUCCUCACGCGUUCGGGGACCGGUCUCUCCCACUAGGGACCGGUCCCCGAGAGCUCAAAACUGCAGAAUGCAGAUUUUGAUCCUUUAGCUCUCGAAAACCUUCCGUAAUUCACUUUUGCUCAUUUUAACACCUUCGGACUUUCCGAAGUGUACCAUCCACGCACUUUGGUCAAUUUGACUAAAGUUCGAUAUUUAUUUUUCGAAUUUUCGGUAUAUUACAUUCCUGCACUAAUCUCAUAGUGUUUCACUACACUAACGUUCUUAUGCCACUCGUUCUCGUGUUCAACACUAACUAGAUGCCACUUGUUCUUGUUACAUGUUUCCAAUAUUCUAGUUUACACUUUACUAGGUUUUCAUCCACAUAGGCACAUUCAUCAUUUAUCAUCUCAUUAUAGUGUUCGAAGUCAUCAUGUCACGCUAUCAUGCAUACUAGGUCCAAGUGUCAAGCAAGCGACUCUACACUACCACUAGCAUGCAAGAAUAUACAACAACAUACUAAAUACCCUAUAAUGCAAUAUGGCAAGAUGCUUAUGAGAUCAACAGUGAGCCUCAGACAUAGGGAGCAGUUCAACUGCUUCGGGAUGGCACCACCCACCUUUUGACGAUGCUACGAAGUAGGAAACCCAAUCUCACGAUCACUCGUCGCCGCUUCGACCUCUCGAGCGGAAACGAAGCCGAAACGCUCUUCGCUUGGCGAUAUCUCUGCACCGACUCGACGAAUCGUCGAACCGUCGCCGCCAACGCGUUUAAACACCUAUCAAUUAGGUUUACAACCAACUAAUUUAGAUCAAAACCCUAAAUUUUCCAAAACAUUAGAGCCCUAGGUUUCAACAAUGCGAAAAUCCACGAUUCUAGCUUGAGAUUCAAGCAUGAAGCAUCUACUAGGGACACUAAAGUUCCAACAAAACCAUUUCUAGAGUAUUUAAACUCUACCCUAAAAAUCCACCAUUAAUGCUCUAGGAGCUUACCUCUCAAGCAUGCUCCAAACUAGAGGAAGAAGAUGAAGAAGAUAAUGCCUUCCUCCUUGACCUUCUUCUCCUUCUACUCCUUCUCCUUCUUUCACCUUAGAGGGAGAGAGAGCAAGAGCUUAGAGAGAGAGAGGAGUGUUUAGGUUUAGCUUUGGGGAAGAAAUGAGAAGAGAGAGAGAGCAAGAGCUCUCAUAUAGCUUCACUCAUGUAACAUUGCAUUUUAGCCACUCAACUUUCCAACCAUGAAACAGCCCAUCAUUGGGCAUUUUCGGGCACGGGGACCGGCCCCUCUAAGGGAGGACCGAUCCCCGAGAGUAAUUUUUCCUAGGUUGAGCUUCGGCUCAACCCUUGCACGCGUACGGGAACCGGUCCCUCUUAAGGCGGACCGGUUCCCGAGAGCAACCUUGGCAGGUUGAGCAUCAGCUUUGUAGCACACUGGACCUUUGCAAAUUGCAUGGUUCGAGUGUUUGAUGUGUACUCCGAACUUUUCCACACUUGGUGGAAGGCCGUAGAUGAUAUUUCGGCCUAAAAGUUCGAUCUCUAGAGUUUUGACUUUGUCCUGAGAGUUUUCACUCUCGGAGACCGGUCCUUGAUAUGAGAGACCGGUCCCCUCAGCUCAGUGUUGCGGCAGCUGGCGAGGCAACAGGUCCCUGGCAGGCGAGACCGGUCCCCGAGCGCGUCUGCGCGGGGAGAGUCCGGUCCCGUGCGGGUAGAGACCGGUUCCCGAACGUUGGUUUUGCGGGACGAACUGAGAGACCGGUCCCAGGUGUCGGGGAGACCGGUCCCUCAGUGCGAAAACAGCCUAGACCGGGCAGUGCACGGAGUGGAUUUUUGAGGGACCUAAGUGGAUUUUGUUGCUUUUGAUGGCUUAUAGAGCCUCUUCUCUUCCUCUCACUCUCAUUUUUUCUCCCUCACACCCAUUCUAGAGAGAGAAAGAGGAGGAGAAGAAGAAGGAGUUGGAGGAGAAGAGCUCACUUGGAGGCCUUGGAGCAUCAUCUUCUUCCUCAUUUCUCACCUUGGUAGCUUGGAGCUUGCUUUUGAAGCUUGGUGGUGGACCACUCCUCAACCCUUGAGGAUCUUGGACUUGGUUUGGAGCUUCCUAGAGGUAUGUGACUAGUUCUUCUCCUCUAGAUUCUAGUUUUGAAGCUUUUUGCUUGAUGAAACCCUAGAUUGGGAUUCUAGGGUUAGUUUUGGGGCUUUUUGAUUUGAGAGCUUUGGAACCUUUUUGAUUGGUUUAGAACCUUCCUUUAGGUUGGAUUGGGAGGGUUCUUGCCCCCAUUUGGAGUUUGAGUGAGGAUUUCUUCACUUAAGGUGAGUUUCCUCCAUCUUAGCCUAGGUUACUUAUUGAUUGAGCUUAGGGUUGAUCGUAAGGUUUGCUUAACCCCUGUUCCUACAUCUUUAGGGUGCUAGGAGACUAGUCGGCACCUUCGUCGGAGCUUACGAAGAAUCGCGAGAGUUGUGGUAGGUUUGACUUCAUGAAAACGGGGCAAAAUGGCCCCUAUGCUUUCUAAAAUCUUCGUAAAGUUUUUUUUAAGAGCAAAUCCAUAUUAAACAUGAUUUAUAUGAAUUUUAGAACACUUGAUAUGCAUGCCUUAUAUAUACCUUGAAAUUUACACUCUAUAUAGUAGAGCUAUAUGUGUAGACUGCAUGCAUUGUGAAAGGUGGUUGGCUUUGCAAGUUGAGAACAUGUCUCUUAUAUUUGAAAUGAGUAGAAUUAUGCAUCAUGAACAUAAAUGCCAUGCUUGAACUCGUUGAACAAUAGUGUCAUAAAGGGGCACUUGAACCUAGCAAACUAUGAGAAUGCAACAUAGAGACAUAGCGAUAGGCCAUUGGGUAUCGACUAUAUUCCAUGUUUUAGACAUGAUGACAUAGUGAUAGGCCAUCGACACAGUUGACAUGUAUUCCAUAUUUUAGACAUGAGGACUUGAUGCUUGAGACGGACUGAUAUGCAUGCUUGCCAUUGUGCUCAUUCGCACAUGCUUGUGAGGGUCGCUCCCUACAAGCCGGCACUCCGGAGUUGGCCAUCGCGAUACGUUCGCCGUGCGGGAUUGGGCGCCGAAGUGGAUUGCUGUGGGAAAGGCUCAUUCCUAGGGUGGGGAUGUUGACUACCACGGGGCUAUUAGGCACGGUAAAGCCAGACAGCCUUCGGGUGGGUCUUAUGCCAGACAGCCUUCGGGUGGGUCUUAUCAAAGUUGAACUGUAAACAAUUAAAGUGAUAAGUGCACAUUGACUAGAAUAGUAAACAAUGACAUCUUUACUAUUUACAUCGUGGGCAUUGGAUUAGUUGCAUACUUAUGCAUUUGCAUGUUGGAUACUCUUGUGCACAUACUUGUAGUAAUUGCCUUCUUACUUAUGCAAAUCAUGCUAAGUAGAGAUAUCAUGGUUGAAUAGUAUUCAUAUUUAUUUCCUAGUUGUUCUUAUCGCUUUGGCUUAUACUUGUACACUGACCCACUUUUGUAGUUUUGGGCCUAGUGGCGUAUUUCAAUGAAGUCAGUAAUUACCCACUGAAAACUAUUAUUUAAUAGUUCUCACGCCCCUGUUUCUAUAUGUUUUCCUUUCAGAGCCUUCGGCACCGGCGUAGGCACGGGAUCUCGGCAAGGGUGUCGCGUAGCUAGCUCGGGAGAGAGUCCGUUUUGCGAUAGGUGGUUCCUUCUUUUGUUUGUGUCAGAGAGAGGGAGAGUUUUGGCACCAUGUAUAGAGAGAUCACCUUGUAUUCAGAGUUGUACUUGCUUUGGGACUCCUUUUGUGUUAUCUUAUGUUUUACCUAGCGGAUUAUCAGUUUUAUGAUCUUCUUCUUGUUGUAGCAUCUCGUAGUUACUUUGCUCUGAUACUCCUAGAUGCUUUCUUGUAUUGUUUUAUUUACCGCUUUAUUUUAGACGCCUUAUAUGUUUUAGACGUACGGCGGGUAUGGACACGCGCCGGGCGGGCUUCCGCUGGGUCCCGGGGCGUGACAAGCUCAACCCCCACAUGCUUACAGGAACCGGUCCCCUCCCAGAGGGACCGGUCCCCGAGAGCACAAAACCUGCAACUUGUACAGAUUUUGCACAGCUUGCUCUCGCAGGUCCUUCUCAAUACACUUUUUGCAUUUUUAUCGCAUUCGGACUUUCCGAAGCAUACCAACUCAACAACAAGUCGAUUCUAAUCGAAGUUCAACUCUCGGAUUUUGAUAAUUCAUUUCCUUACAAGCAGCAAAUUAAUUUUUAAACAACAAAAUUUCUGUACCUGUGGGCAUAAGAAACUCAUUAUCUAGAAAUUCAAUCCACUAUCCUAUUCUAGUCAAAAUUCAAAAUUAUUAUUUAUUUGACUACAAUAAAUAAUCAAACUUUAAUUAAAAAGUCAAACUUUAAUUCAAUGUCAGUAAAUUCUUAUACAUUCAUCAUUAUUUAUAGCAUGCUACCUUAUUUGACAUUGAAUGACUAUUAAAAUUGAAUUAGGAAUCUGUACGAAUUUUCGGGUUAAAGUUAGUUCACUAUCAUCUUAUAAAAAUACCGUAAGUGAUCACAUGCCAUGACUAGGAUGCGGUGGCUAUUUCUGGACAUAGUUGAUCUCAUAAAUCCUUAUAUGAUAUUGAAUGACUGAAAAUUUCAUGUUAUUCCAAAAUGCAGUGAAAAAAAAUAAAAGUCCAAAAUAAUUUUCUUAACAACUUUAUGUGGCUCAAAUUUAUAAACUGUGUGAAGUCUAUAUACCCUACUCUAAUUUUUAUGAUGAUCUUAUAUAUGUUUAGAAUAAUAACAUAACAAAAUUGUAUCGCAAAAUAUUAAUCUAAACAUACUACUUUAUAAUCUAAAUUAGCAUACGAGUAGAAUAAAAAUCAUAUAAGACAAAUACCAAACAUUAUAUANUAGCUCAUACCGGGAGAGGAGAACCGUCGAUCCCGUUGAAUCACUACCGGGAGAGGAGAACCGUCAAUCCCGUAGUUCCGAUUCACUUGUUUCAUGGCAUACCGGGAGAGGAGAACCGUCGAUCCCGUUGAAUCACUACCGGGAGAGGAGAACCGUCAAUCCCGUAGUUAUGAUUCUAUUCUUGCCAUCACACCAUUCCUAGGAAUUCCGGAAUCCACUUUCACAACUUAAGGGUUUUACUCUUUUACUCUAUGUUGACGACCUUUCUAGGUCUAUACUAUUCACUUUCUAGUGGUCCUAUUACCACUAUAAUUCAUAACUUAGUUUACUUUUACUGAGUGUUUCUUUACAUUAUAACCUAGGUUCAUUUACACCAGGUUUAAUAUUCUCUCUCCUAGAUCUCAACUCUAGGUUUAUUUGCUUGACCUAUGUCCAAUGACACUAGGUUAAUGUCCGACCUAGGUUCAAUAACACUAGGUUCAUUUCAUGUCCAACCUAUGUUUAGCAACACUAGGUUUAUGCCACUCGAUCUAUACAAUGACCAACCUAGGUUUAAUAACUUAGGUUUCAUGCCACUCGAUCUAUAUAUCACCCGAGGUAUCCUUGCCUAGGUUCACAAUUCACAUGUUUUCAUGUAGCUUGUUACCGCUGAGGUUUCUAAUCAACGAGAAUUAUCGACAUUCAUAUAGCUUGAACUAUGGUACAUUCAUUUUCAUAUAUGUUUAGAUAUAUACAUCAGAUGUCGACAAUUAUGUAUGCUUUAGCAUCUAUGUUCACAUUUCAUAUUCACCUUACAUGCCCCUGACAUUUACAGGUUCAACUUUUAUAUAUCAUAUAGUUGCUCAUAAGAAUUUAGCAUAACUAUGCAUCUAGCUUUCACGUUCAUAUAUCGACAAUUAUAUGUAUGUAUUCUUAGGUCUCUCGCAUUCACUUUCAUAUAUGUUUAGCCCUUUGCAACUAGCAUUUACAAUUCACGUAUUCAUAUUCAUAUGAUAACUAUUAGAGAUCAUCUACGCUAAUAUUCACAUGUCAACAAUCAUAUUCAUAUAUGCGUCAAAUGAAACCAUACUUUACUUUGACAUGGGAAGCGACCUAAUCGCUUCGGUAAGCACAACCCACCUUUACUUGAUACUGGAAUGCGAGAAAUCCGCUUCUCGCACUUUCCAGAGAACCGCGACCCGCGCUCUUGACAAUUGUAGUCGAAAAUGCUCUUUUGGCGAUAUCUUCGCGUAGGCUCGACGGAUUGCCGAACCGACUUCGCCAACGCGUUUGUUUUACCCCCAAUUAGGUUGUACGCGGUCAAUUUCACAUUAGGACUUCUAUCCUGCAAAAGUGCAUUAUUGAGGUCAGUUCAAUAUAACUUCUUUUACACGAGUUCCAUACAAAUUUAUAGAGCAAUUCAACUUCAACCAUUAAUCUAAGAACCCCAUAACCAGCUAAUCUAGGAAUACAAGAGAUCCACUUUAGCUAUAACAUCAUUCCUACAAUUUUCAUAUACAACCCAAGUUUACUUGCACGUUGUUAGCAUAUUAUAGUUUCUAAUGUUAUAUAGCAUCUACAAGCUUUAGCCUCUAAUAGAUGUAAAUUCCUGUUAUAACUAUGCUCCUACAACUCUAUUUUUUUAGACCAAUUAUGCCACAUAUAUAGCAGCCCAAGUUCACAUAUAUGCUGUCAACAUAUAACUCUUCCACUAGGUUUUGAUAACACAUACAAGUUUUUUGUAGAAUUCAAAACCCCAAGUUAGAUCCCUUUCUUAGGUUAAAUACCACAAAUCAUAAUCAGGAAUUAUGACUAACCUGUCUCAAAUUACCUCUUUAACAAACAAUUCACUUGCAUACUAUUCCAUCUUUAUAGCUGGUUAUAGGUUCUUCAUGGCAUGUAGAAGAUAUAGCAACCAUAAUCUAUAGUUUAGACCCUUUUUUUUUUUUCUUUAGACCAAUUAACCUAACCCAAAAUCAGGAAUUACAAAAUAACCGGCAGGAUAGCUACUUAGUUCCCAGCUGCCAAUAUUCAUACAUAAUACACAUGGCUUCUUACAUAGCAUCUACACUCUUUAACAACCAAAAUCCAUAGUUUAAACCUUUUUAAUUUCAGCACAAAUCCAUCAAAAUGACUUCUCCUAAGAUCCACCAUAAAAAUUCAUCAAAAGAUCUGAUUUGAAAUUAUAAUAAUAAAAUGCUAACUUCGCAGUCGAAGCGCCGAAAAAAUCCAACGCGCGCGGGGGAUCGAUCGGCUCGUCGAACGGCACCAAUUUCAUCACUUUCUUCUUCUUCUUCUUCUUUUUUUCUUUUUCCUUUUCUCUUCCUUUCCCUUUCUCUAUCAUGCGUACAGGGAGAGGAUAAGAAUGAAGGUCUCCUGGCAGCUUAGUGGAAACCCACUAAGCAAUGUAACAAUUGCCUUUAGGUCCACAAGUCAUCAAUAUUAUCACUUCAGUCUAGUUCUAGUCUGAUAUAUUUAAUUGGAGCUCUUAUGAAUGUCCGAUUGAGUUCAAAUUUGACAGGAAUGCUCGUUUUUACUUCAUAAGUCCACUGAAAUUUUAACAUUUCAGUUUCGACCCCUUUUGGUUACGGCGAACUGUCCCGAACUGUAAUCUUUAUCAGAUAACUUCCAGAUACUAUUUCUCUCUCUACAGGUGUCAGAAAAAUAUGAAACUUCAAAUCUAGACUCAUAAUAACGUUCCUGACAUCUCUGCUAAUUUUCAUAAUUUUCUGACACUGUGCAUUUUUCUGCUAAUUUCUCAGUCUCGUUCUUUACAGAAAAUUCUACAUUUUCCGUUUUCACUCCGAUUUCUUCCAAACACUUCCAAAAUAUUCCAAGGGACCUUUACAAGCUACUAAUUUAAUUUGGAAGCAAUUCCUUUUCAUUUUGACAUUAUUUGAGCCGAAUUAGCAAUAGAAUUAGCUCAAAUUCCAUUACAUGGUAGCAAUUUCUCCUUUUUGCACUACCACUUUGUACUGAACACUUCAAAACCCUUUGAAAACACACUCCUGGUUUUUUCAAAGCUUCACAAUUGAUUCGGAGAUACCACAAUUUAUCCUCACGCCUUACUUUAAUUCUUUUAAUCAAAGUUAGCGUCGGAACUCCGAAAAUUCUCUUUAUAUUUCAUUUCGCGCCCAAUUUGCGCCGAAACACUUAUUUAUCUCCAGAAUUCAUUCACACGCAUCACAAAUCACUCGAAGAUGAUGUCCAACUAGCUCAAUCCUCACUUUGACCCUCUAGGUCAAAGUUGACAUCGCAACUCCAAGUUUCCAUAUGUUACACGAUCUAUGUCAUAGUGUCACUUUGUUCUUUUGCUUACUUUGGGUGCUCACUUUCUCUCUCAUGCAUACACAUAGGGUUUUCGACAUUUAUAAGGUUCUCAACCAUAACAUUAGGCACGUUGUACUCACAAUCAUGCAAUCAUCACAUUUUAUCAUUACUUUACCCUAAAAUGCAUGCAACAAUAUAGGUGUAUAUGCUCAAUCGAAUGAUACAUUAGGCAUAGAGGGAAGUUCAAUAAGUUUGAGAAGCACCACCCACCUUGUAGGUCUAUCUAGGUGUAAGAUAUCGAAAUUCGACGAAAACGGCUAACUUUGGCACAAUGGACCAAAGUAGGCAAUUGAACGAUUUGGACAAGUUCCAUUCGGCAUUCCAACAAGUUUGGAAGAGUAAUAAUGAGUUCCAAAAGUGUUGGAAUAGUUCUAGCGUUGUUGGACGCGAAAAGAAAUCGAAACAGAUCGAAAAACAGCUUUCUGGAGCUGGUGUACCGGUACACGCAUGAUGGCUGUACCGGUACAGCCAUUGCUGCCAGGCUGCGCAGCCCUCGGGUUUGCUCUCGGGUUUGGCCGUUACGCAGGGCGCGUACCGGUACGCAAACCCGUGUACCGGUACACGAGCGCGCAGCAGCGGGUUAAGUUGCAAAAUCUGAUAAAAGGAGGGCUUUUUAGCAUUUUGUUACAAUAGAGGACUUAACCCUCAUGCCCUCAGCUCUCUCCUCUCUCACUCCCACAGCCCCUCUCUCUCUCUAGCUCUCUCUCUCUCUCUAACCGGUUGGGAGAAAAGAAGAAGAAGAAAAAGAGAAGGAAAAAGAAGGAAAAAGAGAGGAAGAAAAGGAAGGAGAAGAAGGAGAAGAAGGUUUUGAAGCCCUUCUUCAUCUCGUUUUUGACCUAGGGCUUGCUUUGGAGCAAACCCUAGAGGUAAGCCUCAACCCCUUUCAUGGUAACUUGUGAUUUCUAGGGUUUGGAUGGUUUUUGUUGCUUUUGAUGGUUCAAAUGGAACCUAAUGAGCUUAGAGAACAUGGAUUUAGCUCACAUUGAAGCUAUAAUCCAUAACCUCUCAUGGAUCCUAACCCUAGGGUUAGAUUUUGGGGAUUUUGUAAAUAGUGAGGUUUGAUCUCUUUUGAGGGGUUAGAAAUCUAAUUGCUAUGCUUAUAAACGCGUAGGCGAAGACGGUUCGUUGAUCCGACGAGUGAGCGCGAAGAUAUCGCCAAUUGACGCGCUAAGGGGUUAAAGCUAACCCAACGAAAAAUUAAGCGGCGACAAGACUAGCACGAGAACGCGUCUCGGAGUGUUUUCGGUAUCACCCAAGGUGGGGGAGUGCCAUCCCGAAGUCAUCGGGCCACCUUCUAUGUCUAAGUUUAACAAUGAUCUCUUUGCAUAUUGUGCAUGUUCUUAUAGGGUUAAAGAUUUAGUAUGUUGCUUAAUUUGCAUGCUAGUAGCUAUAGAUAUGGUUGAUUGAAUGAUUUAUAAACUAGUAUGCAUGAGAUUAAAUGAUAGAGUUUGAUGAUGAGAUUUAACCCUAUAUGAGAUGAUUAUGCUUACGUUGCUAAAGAACUAGUAUGAUGAGACUAGUGUUGAUAAUGAGUCAAAUUGACGAGUGGCAUCUAGUUUAGAAAACUAUGACAAGUGGCAUCUAGUUAGAAAAACUAUGAUGAAUGACAUUGUUGAUGUUUCCUUGAGAUGAUCACAUUAGUGUAGUUGAGACACUAUGAGAUUGGGUACAUGUAUACCUUACUUCCAUGAUGAUAUUACCCUCAAAGGGGUUGUUGUUGUUGCUCGUGAGAUGAUCUUGCUCACAUUGCCUGUCUGCGCUUGGUGGGGUCGCUCCCCCCAGGUUGUGCGCUCCGGAGUUUGGUCACUAGAGAGGCAGCCCUGCUUGCUGCUCGGAUAGCCGCUUGUUAUCCGCAGGCGUACUCGGGGAUAGUCCAGCUCGACAUCCCUAGGAGAUUGAUAUGUGAGUCUUGCUUGUGGACCUCGUGUUCACUUGGAGAUUGGGUUACCCAUUGAGUCUUACCCAUGAUUGAUGUUCAUAGUAGCUAUUCAUUGUUCAUAUCAGCUUACUUGCUUACCUAGUAGCAUGUUUUAUAGUUACUAUGAUAGCUGUUGUAGAUGUGGAUAGUUGCUUACCUACCCAGCUUGUUUAUUGUUCAUGCAUUCAUGAUUCCAGAUUGAGGCAUAGCUUGAUAUAGUUGUUUACAUACCGCUUUUAGUUUCGCUCAGUUUUAUAUGUAUAUUGCAUAUAUAUCUCUCUAUGCCUGCUUGAGACCUAGUGGGUAGAUCGGUGGAGUCGGCGACCGAACCCACUGGGAACUAUUCGUAGUUCUCACCCCCGUGUUGUUUUGGGGGUACAGGUGCACAGGACAGCGGGCCGUCGUCGAUGGAUCGUGGUAAGGGUAUAGCGCCCUAGCUUUGGUAGAUAGCUUCCUCUACCCACUUGCAUUAGUUUUAUACCCUGUACUUUUGAUUAUGCUUUGAGAGUAGAUGAUGUAUAGGGUGAGGUUUUGGAGAGUUUAUGAUGUAUAUUCAUUUGGAAAAAGAAUGCAAGUUGUAUUAAAUGUUUAAAGUUUGAAUGAUAUCGAAAGAGGUUUGAUGUUUCAAAUAUGUGUAAAUAGUUAAGUUUCUCUCUUUGUAUACUUGUAUGAUUUUACUUGUAUCGCUUGCUCUAGUUGGUUAUAGCACUGUUUGUGCUUUCGUUUCGUUGUUGAUUGUGUAUGAAUGCAAGUUGUUUUCUUGGGGACUUGUUGUACACAAUCCGUUGCUUAGCCUUGGGCGGACAGGGGAGACUCUGUCCGUUCGGCGGUCGCGCACGCCGCCCUCGAAUCGGACCAAAUUGGUACCGUUUUCGGGUGGUGCGGUCUGGGGCGUGACAUAUAGUCACUAGUAUCCCAAAGAUCUAGUUCUAGUCAUAAUGUGAAGUCCCAACACACACUUGCUUAGUGCCUCUUUAUGACACUUAAGCUCCACAACUAAUCAUAAUCCAAUUAAGACAUUAACAUUAAUGCUCACUAUGCCCCGGGC
rnacentral:lncRNA from 1 species